ensembl:lncRNA
CUGACAAGAUUGAAGGGAGCGCAACCCAGGAACUGGGGGGAGAAAAAUAAAAAAAAAGGGGGGGGGGGGGAAGGGAGGGAGGGGGGAGCGGGCGGGCAAAGGGGUAGAGGGAGAAGUAACCCCGGCUAAAGUUUGUACAAUUAGAACCCAUCCGCUUAAAGUAGACUUUGUGCUUUCGGCUUCUCCUUUCCCUUCGCUGCGAGGAUGUGUGUUGUAAGAGGUAAGCGCAGCCGGCUCAGAACUGCGGUGCGGGGUCAGGAGAAAGGAGCGGGGAGGAGAGGGGGAGCAGGAAAGAGGAGCGAAAGGAAAGCGAGGACGGUUUGAGGAGCAGGGCUGCACCGUGGGAAGGAUGGAGUCAUCCAGUGGCUCAGCGUUGCUUCAGAGAGGGUUUGGUGAGGUCAUCAUGUGGGAAUGACUAAGGAGUGUAUGCAGUGUUGAUGUCGAAGGAGAAAUUUGCCCACUGGCCUGGUCUGUCCUUCCUCCCACUGUCCUGGAGACCAAGAAGGAGACUGGUGAAUUGUCCCCUCUUUUCCCAUCUGAACCUCUGGAGCUGCGCCUCGUAGGAUUUUUGCAAUGUAAGUAUGUCAGUGUCCACAGCCAGAUGUGCAAAGUUUUUGCACCUGCUACCACACCAUAUCCCUAACUCUCUCCUCCUUGCUCCUCUCUCUGUAGAGGAGUUCUGCACUGUGAGUGCCCCUCUACUGUCAGGUGAGGCUGGAGAGCAGGGAUGGUGAUCACAAGGAGGGAAAGGGUCACCUGAAACUUGCAAAGGUUUAGAGACAUCUGAAAUUCCUGGGUGCACUCUGCAUCAGAGAUUGGCUGCCUGCCUCUUUUGUGGGAGGAUAUAAGAGAGAACAGAGACCUUUGCGUGAAACACUUCUGUCAGCUGAAGUCAGCGAUGAAAGUCCUAUAGAAAAGAGCCUCAGACCAAAUAAAAACUUGAUUUCCUAAGAGUGACACUGCCUGCAAAUGGAGGCAGGCUAAGGUCCUCAACUGGCCGGCGCUUUGGACGCGUUCUGCUUACUUUAGUCACACAAAAUGACGUAUUGAUGUAAGCUUCCAGGAUCUAAACAGGCAGCCCUUUCAUAGGCAAAAGCCCUAAUGAAGUCACUGGCAAGCAGCCUUGCUGGCCUAGGGCCUGCAGGCUAUUUCCCCAGUCAAUACACUGGACCUAAUCUUAUAACUCUUGAGCAUCGAACUCCAUGUGUAUUUUCCGCAAGUAUUUGUUCUCUUUCUGCAAAAGUGCAAGAUCUAUGUGCUGGGGAGAGCAGUGUCAGUGAGCAGCUGCUUUUCUUUCAGUGUGAGUUGUUUGGGAUAUAGACUACAUCUGCUACUGGUUGGGCAAAACCAAACCACAAAGCUGAGACGUGGAACAGCAAGAACCUGGACUGACAAAUAAAAAUCUCUCCUUGUAAAUGCACAUUUGAACACAAAACAAAAAACAGUUAAAAGCAUAAGUUUCAUAUUGAGACAAUGUAUAUUUUUACCUGGUAAGUUUCAGGCUGCUUCUAAUUUAGUGGAACACAUUAAUUGAUCUUGCAAUUCUACUGAGUCAAUGGAGCUGUCAUAGUGAAGAGUUAGUGCAAGAGCAGUCCAUCCAGUUUCUCAAUAACCAGUUGAAUUUGUUUUUCUCAUUUCUGAGAGUUUUAGAAAUAUAAAUUGGAAUGGCAGCAUCAUUUAUUUCUAUGGCUCCAAAGCUGUCAUCAAACAUGACAUUGACAUGUAAAAAUCCAUGUUUUAUUUUAUGCUUUAUUUUAGGUGAGGAAGCUGCAGACUUUCUUUUCCCAAAUUUCUAAAUAAAGUUUUGCCAUGACAAAUAUGAUGCCCAUGCAAAAAAAGAAAAGGAAGCUUUUAUAGUUGAAAAUUUUCUGUCUACUUCUCCACACUCCCCAGAAAAUGAUAGAAUGAGUACAAUCCUUCUAACUAAGCUAAAAUUUCCUUUUUCUCUUUAUUUCUCUUCUCUUUCUUUCUUUUAUUUUCCUUCCUUCCUUCCUUCCUUCCUUCCUUCCUUCCUUCCUUCCUUCCUUCCUUCCUUCCUUCCUUCCUUCCUCUCUUUCUCUCUUUCUUUAUCCCUCUCUUUAUCUUUCUCUCUUUCUUUCUCUUUUCUCUCUCUCUCUCUCUCUCUUUCUCUUUCUCUUUCUCUUUCUCUUUCUCUUUCUCUUUCUCUUUCUCUUUCUCUUUCUCUUUCUCUUUCUCUUUCUCUUUCUCUUUCUCUUUCCUUCUUUCUUAAAAAAAAAAAAAAAAAAAAAAGGCUUUUGCCUCUGUCUGUCUCAACCUUUGAUUCCUUCAGAUCCAGAUUAAGGCCACAGGUGGGCUCACAGCUCAGCCUGACACAGAACUGGAAGCGCAGCACCUUGCAUAUAUAUGCACUUUGACAGAGAAUGGUAACACUGUGAAAAAUGCCACAAGUAGGUCCUGUAGGUACCAUGAAGCAAUUCUCUAAAAGAGGAAUGAGACACCUUUUUACAGGCUGGAUGUCCUGUACAAAUUGCAACAGAGGCAGUGGUUUUGUGAGAGAGAAGUUUGGAGUCUCAAGCACAGGCACUGAAAUCGUGGCCCUUAUUAAACUGUCUCUUUGGGAAGUGACCUCCUUCAAGACUCUGCAUCUGUGUCAUUGUCACACCUGAUACGCUAUAAAUAAAUCUAUGAUGUUAGAUGCCAAUCAACUGAUCUCAGAUCCUUAUCACAACAAACUUACAGUACCUUAUUCAAUGUAUUCAAGGAGUUAUCUUUCUGCCUCUUAUUUUAAGAUGAAACCAAUCCAUUGUAACAAGAAGUCACUUAUAGAGUGAAAAUAGAAGUUCAAAGGUUAAACAUAUGAGACUCUUGCCAUUGAAGACACCAGUGUGAAAAGGUGCUCCAUUCUUAUGGAGCUCUGCUGAGGAGGUAGGAGAGGAUUUUCCUUGUGCUUACCACAGGAGUUGUGCAUAGUUUAAUUAACAUGUAUUAUCAUAUUAAGGAUUUUCUUUUUCAUAUUAAAGCCAAGUACUCCACUUGAGACUGGGGCAAUCAUGCACUCAAAUCUGUGUCACAGCCCUGCUGGCAGUCAGAGCUUCUGCAAUAACAUCGGAUGGCAGAGUCAGAGUUCAGGAAAGCAAGAAAAACAUUCUGAAGAGCUGAAAACAUCAAGCACUCAUUCAGGAUUCAUAUGUGCAAAUCUAUCUACGUUCAAUCGGCAUGCAUGAGGGAGUAAUAAACAUUUCAGCAACUUCUGCACCUGAUGAAGAGUAAAAAUUAAAGACUGUACAUAAGAGACCCUCACAUACUUUUCUCCCAGCAAAAGCUUGUUUACAUGAUGUUCAUGAAAAAGAAGUGAUUUUGUCCCAUAAUUAAGAACCCAAUAACUUCUGAAGGCA